UACGUAGGGUGCGAGCGUUGUCCGGAAUUACUGGGCGUAAAGAGCUCGUAGGUGGUUUGUCGCGUUGUCCGUGAAAACUCACAACUCAAUUGUGGGCGUGCGGGCGAUACGGGCAGACUGGAGUACUGCAGGGGAGACUGGAAUUCCUGGUGUAGCGGUGGAAUGCGCAGAUAUCAGGAGGAACACCGGCGGCGAAGGCGGGUCUCUGGGCAGUAACUGACGCUGAGGAGCGAAAGCGUGGGGAGCGAACAGG
rnacentral:rRNA from 1 species